rnacentral:tRNA from 1 species
GGUCCUAUGGCCCAAUGGUUAAGGCGCCGGUCUACGGAACCGGAAAUUCGGGGUUCGAAUCCCCGUAGGAUCA